rnacentral:rRNA from 1 species
UGCGUAGGCGGUUAGUUAAGUCUGUUGUGAAAUCCCCGGGCUCAACCUGGGAAUGGCAAUGGAUACUGGCUAGCUAGAGUGUGUCAGAGGAUGGUGGAAUUCCCGGUGUAGCGGUGAAAUGCGUAGAGAUCGGGAGGAACAUCAGUGGCGAAGGCGGCCAUCUGGGACAACACUGACGCUGAAGCGAAAGACUGGGGAGCAAACA